rnacentral:rRNA from 1 species
AUUGAACGCCGGCGGCAUGCUUUACACAUGCAAGUCGAACGGUAACAGGCCGCAAGGUGCUGACGAGUGGCGAACGGGUGAGUAAUGCAUCGGAACGUGCCCAGUCGUGGGGGAUAACUACUCGAAAGAGUAGCUAAUACCGCAUACGAUCUAUGGAUGAGAGCGGGGGACCGUAAGGCCUCGCGCGAUUGGAGCGGCCGAUGUCAGAUUAGGUAGUUGGUGGGGUAAAGGCUCACCAAGCCAACGAUCUGUAGCUGGUCUGAGAGGACGACCAGCCACACUGGGACUGAGACACGGCCCAGACUCCUACGGGAGGCAGCAGUGGGGAAUUUUGGACAAUGGGCGCAAGCCUGAUCCAGCAAUGCCGCGUGCAGGAAGAAGGCCUUCGGGUUGUAAACUGCUUUUGUACGGAACGAAACGGCUCUGGUUAAUACCCGGGGCUAAUGACGGUACCGUAAGAAUAAGCACCGGCUAACUACGUG